rnacentral:snoRNA from 1 species
AUUCAGAGUGGGGCAAUUUCUGAAAUACUCUUUGAAUCUUUCCUAGGCCUCUGGAUAGCUUUCAAGGUCUUUUUGCUUAAAAGUAUGAACUUCAUUUUAGAUU